rnacentral:rRNA from 1 species
AGCGGCAGGCCUAAUACAUGCAAGUCGAACGGUAACAGUUCCUUCGGGAAGCUGACGAGUGGCGCACGGGUGCGUAACGCGUAUGCAACUACCCACAACUGGAGAAUAGCCCGGAGAAAUCCGGAUUAAUACUCCAUAAUGCAGGGGCAUCACCUGAUGAUAUUUGCUAAAGAUUUAUCGGUUGUGGAUGGGCAUGCGUCUGAUUAGUUAGUUGGUGAGGUAACGGCUCACCAAGACGAUGAUCAGUAGGGGGCCUGAGAGGGUGAUCCCCCACACUGGUACUGAGACACGGACCAGACUCCUACGGGAGGCAGCAGUAGGGAAUAUUGGGCAAUGGAGGAAACUCUGACCCAGCCAUGCCGCGUGCAGGAAGAAUGCCUUCGGGUUGUAAACUGCUUUUGUACAGGAAGAACCAUUGGGAUGCGUCCUGAUCUGACGGUACUGUACGAAUAAGCACCGGCUAACUCCGUG